CCCAGCCUUGAGCUCCAGGUGCCCCAAUCCCUAUCAGAGAUCAAUACCUUACUCUCUUCAGGGAUGCUAUGGCCUCUAAGAGAGCCAUCUCCUUUAGUGCAGGGAGCAGUGAGUCCAGCUCUGUGUAUUCUGGGUAGUGUGUUGGUCACCAUCCUUGACUGUGCCCUGCCUCAGUUUCCCCACCUCCACUUGUGCCCCACAAACACUGAGUGAGCUCCUGCUGCUGCCUCUGCAGAAAACGGGGGUACAGGAUCUGGCAGUUGCUCAGUACAGCCUUCCAAUUGAAAGCUUGAAGAAAUCCAAGGCUUUUCAAAGGCAGUCCUUGCAUAUUACCCACGGAAUGGAACCAUCUGUCUUUCUGGUGCAAAGGGAUUUACCCUUGAAAGUGCAGAUGAGCUUCACAGGAGGGGACACAGAAUACUGUACAACUCAAGCAAAUGAAGUCCCAGGCGAGCGAGAAAACAGGAGGAAAAGCAGCGUCAGGGCCAUGAAGCCGUGAGGACACCAGGCUUCCAAGAACGGUUGUUUACAUUCCCCCAAAACAAGCCAGAUAGGCAACGCCCGCGUGGAACGGGAAGGAGGAGGAGGAGCAGGUGGUGACCUGGGGUGUUCCUGGCUGUGUUUUGUGGUCUAAUGACCUUCCUCCUCCUCUAUUACUCUUCCGCAUUUCAAUUCCCUUUAAAAGAACACUAAACACUUUCAGACACA